AUUUGAGGUCAAAUUGUCAUGUAUUGUCCGAAUGAACAGACGGUUAGAAGCAGUGCAAAACCCAUAUGAUUGCAGACAUCCACGGCGUAGAUAAUUAUCACACCAAUAGAUGGUCCACGCGGGGCACCAGCUAAUGCAUUUUAGGGGAGCUGACCUCUGUGAAGAAGCCGGCAAAAGAAACCCCCACAUCCAAUCCAUUAUCAGCAAAAGCUAAUAAGGUUGAGAAUUUAAUGACACUCAAACAGGCAUGCUCCUCGGAAUACCAAGGAGCGCAAGGUGCGUUCAAAGAUUCGAUGAUUCACUGAAUUCUGCAAUUCACAUUACUUAUCGCAUUUCGCUGCGUUCUUCAUCGAUGCGAGAGCCAAGAGAUCCGUUGCUGAAAGUUGUAUAAGGUUUAUAGGCACAAGGCCCAAUGAUACAUUCUGUUACAUUCUACAGGGGUAUAUGAAAAACAUAGGCCUGGACAUGCAAAGAAAGCUGGCUCACAGAGCGCAGCAAUCUUCCCGACCGAGUUGCCUCGGAAAGUCUAUCCAGGUCUACAAAAGGUGCACAGGUGGAGAGAUGAGGAUGGUGGGUGUGCACAUGCCCCUGAGAGGGCCAGCAACAACCACACCAAGUUCAUUCAAUAAUGAUCCUUCC
rnacentral:misc_RNA from 1 species